ensembl:piRNA 21ur-1746 ncRNA
UUCCAGACACACAGAAGGAAG